rnacentral:ncRNA from 1 species
UAUGCGAUGAAAGUUGCACGUACGGUUCGGAGGGGGGGACACUGACCACAGGAGGGCAAACCUUAUUUAGGCAUCUUCUACGGUAAUAAACCGGGUCUCUACCCUAC